ACUGAACGCUGGCGGCAUGCCUUACACAUGCAAGUCGAACGGCAGCGGACCUUCGGGUGCCGGCGAGUGGCGAACGGGUGAGUAAUGCAUCGGAACGUACCUUUCAGUGGGGGAUAACGUAGCGAAAGUUACGCCAAUACCGCAUAUUCUGUGAGCAGGAAAGCAGGGGAUCGCAAGACCUUGCGCUGAUUGAGCGGCCGAUGUCAGAUUAGCUAGUUGGUGAGGUAAAGGCUCACCAAGGCGACGAUCUGUAGCGGGUCUGAGAGGAUGAUCCGCCACACUGGAACUGAGACACGGUCCAGACUCCUACGGGAGGCUGCAGUCGAGAAUCUUCCACAAUGGGCGAAAGCCUGAUGGAGCGACACCGCGUGCAGGAUGAAGGCCUUCGGGUUGUAAACUGCUGUCACGCUAUAGGAACCCACUUGGGUGAAUAGUCCAAGUGCUGACUAAAGCGAAAGGAAGCACCGGCUAACUCUGUGCCAGCAGCCGCCGUAAUAC
rnacentral:rRNA from 1 species